AGUGAACGCUGGCGGUAGGCCUAACACAUGCAAGUCGGACGGCAGCACAGUAAGAGCUUGCUCUUACGGGUGGCGAGUGGCGGACGGGUGAGGAAUACAUCGGAAUCUACUUUUUCGUGGGGGAUAACGUAGGGAAACUUACGCUAAUACCGCAUACGACCUACGGGUGAAAGCAGGGGAUCUUCGGACCUUGCGCGAUUGAAUGAGCCGAUGUCGGAUUAGCUAGUUGGCGGGGUAAAGGCCCACCAAGGCGACGAUCCGUAGCUGGUCUGAGAGGAUGAUCAGCCACACUGGAACUGAGACACGGUCCAGACUCCUACGGGAGGCAGCAGUGGGGAAUAUUGGACAAUGGGCGCAAGCCUGAUCCAGCCAUACCGCGUGGGUGAAGAAGGCCUUCGGGUUGUAAAGCCCUUUUGUUGGGAAAGAAAAGCAGCAGGUUAAUACCCCGCUGUUCUGACGGUACCCAAAGAAUAAGCACCGGCUAACCUCGUG
rnacentral:rRNA from 1 species